rnacentral:rRNA from 1 species
UGGGGAAUUUUGGACAAUGGGGGAAACCCUGAUCCAGCCAUCCCGCGUGUGCGAUGAAGGCCUCCGGGUUGUAAAGCACUUUUGGCAGGAAAGAAACGUCAUGGGUUAAUACCCCGUGAAACUGACGGUACCUGCAGAAUAAGCACCGGCUAACUACGUGCCAGCAGCCGCGGUAAUACGUAGGGUGCAAGCGUUAAUCGGAAUUACUGGGCGUAAAGCGUGCGCAGGAGGUUCGGAAAGAAAGAUGUGAAAUCCCAGAGCUCAACUUUGGAACUGCAUUUUUAACUAACGGGCUAGAGUGUGUCAGAGGGAGGUGGAAUUCCGCGUGUAGCAGUGAAAUGCGUAGAUAUGCGGAGGAACACCGAUGGCGAAGGCAGCCUCCUGGGAUAACACUGACGCUCAUGCACGAAAGCGUGGGGAGCAAACAGG